rnacentral:rRNA from 1 species
CUGCUGUGUAAGUCCGUUGGGAAAUCGACCAGCUCAACUGGUCGACGUCCAGCGGAAACUGCAUAGCUUGGGGCCGAGAGACUCGACGGGUACGUCCGGGGUAGGAGUGAAAUCCUGUAAUCCUGGACGGACCACCAAUGGCGAAAGCACGUCGAGAGACCGGACCCGACGGUGAGGGACGAAAGCCAGGGUCUCGAACCGGAUUAGAUACCCGGGUAGUCCUGGCUGUAAACAAUGCUCGCUAGGUAUGUCACGCGCCAUGAGCACGUGAUGUGCCGUAGUGAAGACGAUAAGCGAGCCGCCUGGGAA